rnacentral:lncRNA from 1 species
GAAUGACUAAGUUAUUUAAACACUCCACAGUCGUUCAUAUGUUGGAAGUAGGUAUGAAUCAAGACUGUCAUGAAUCGAGUUUGUAGAUGGCUAAAUGGGUUUAGUCAUAGCAAUGGUUGCUACAACAUUCAUGAGUGCUCAUAAGUUAUGAGUAUUGGAAUAAACCCACGCUCACUUGUAUCACUUCAUGGAAUUUAUCUCGAGUGAUCGUGAGACGGUAAUAUCAUAUAAAUCUUCAAACCUAGAGAUAUGAGUUGUUACCUAUGAGUUGGUUGUGCAUUGAUUGCACGUAAACGCAUCAGUAACUUGAUGUUAUAAAACGUGCCUUUGUGUACAAUUCAACAAGUAGUAGAACAAGCAUAUGAGUCGAAGUUUAUCUGUUCCUUCUAGAAAUAGAAGCGAUAUCUGGGCCCCUCGAUGAUUUUGUUGUGACCUAUGUACCGGCCGGUCAGAACUAAAUUGAUGUGUUCGAUUAAGUUCUUUGUCAAACAAAUCGAAAAUCGGGAAACAAACUGCUGGACAAUAAGUACGACGUUGUUCCAUGUAUUUGUCCGGCUGAUAUCAUGAGAACAGAGGAUUAUAUGAUCACUUAUCUAAAAUGGCGCUUCAUAGUUCAACAGAGUUUUCGAGAGCUACGAUUGCUGGUUGGUUCCUGAAGUAACAUACGCAAAUAUAGUUAUUAGACUUAUCCAAGUGGGAGUCUGUUGGAUAAGGUGUCUAAGUCCAUAACUUAUUUGGUAUAUACUUGACCCGACCCGGCAUGGUCCAUUUGGGUUGCAUCUCACCCGAACUAUUUAUGGAUAAUUUUAUGAGAGUUAUACACAUAUGUUUAUUAAUAUAUUAUAAGUUAUAAUAUAUUAAUAUGAAGUUAUGUUAUUUAAUUAGUCUUAGUCUUAAAUUAAUUAUGAAUUAAUUUAGAGAUUAAAAGGAAGACUAAUUAGAUUAUGGGCUAUUGGUUUUAUAUGGUGUGGGCUAACACUCAUUUGUUAAUGGGCUAGGCUUAUAUGGAAGUCCAUGGAUGAUCCAUGGAGCUUUUAACCCAUGGAUCCUUGGAAAAGGAAAGGUCAUGGGUUAUUAGGGUUUCACCCUAACCAUGCACACUAUAUAAGCAUGCUUAUGGAGCAUGAAAUGGCAACUAGUGAACUAGUGUGUGUGUGCUUGUGUGUGGCCAAAAAUACAAGUGUGUAUACUCUCUCAAAGUUUUCCAAGAGUUUGUGGUGUUUUGUGAUUCCAUUUGAGGCAUUCACACUAUUGGUGCUUGGCCCUCAAACUCCUUAAGAACCAAACUCAUCAAAAAGGUAUGUAAUCUCUUCUAACUCUUUUAUGUUGAAAUGUUCCCCAUGCCAUGUUAGAUAGGUUAUGAACCUUGGAAAAUUAUUAUUUUGCAUGUAUUUAGACAAACAUAGAUCCAAGGUUUAUUAGGGUUGCAUGCACACUUAGGAAGUGUUAGAUUGCUCAAAACCCAACAGUGGUAUCAGAGCCUAGGCUUGCUUGUUUGAUACUUGAUGCAAAAUAGUGAAAAAAGUUGAAAUUGUUGCUGUCUGGCUGAUGGACUCGCCGAGUCCAUGGGGGGACUCGCCGAGUUCAAGGCAAAAUUCAUCCUACUCGGCGAGUAGGUUCGUGCACUCGGCGAGUAGAAUGAUCAGAAUGCAGAAUUUCGACUUUUGCUGCUGGAAAUGGACUAGAAACAUUACCCUAAACUGUUUUGGUGUUUUAAAACUUGUUUUAGUUGGUGUAAUGGUUGUUCUAAUCCAUUUACAAUAGCAUAUAUCAAAAUUCCAUGAUUUUUAUGUGUUCAUAUAAUUCUUGAAAUUUUGAUGAUCAUGUUCAUGUUCUUAUGAAUUUAGAAGAUGAUAGGAAUUAUUUGCUGAAUUGUUUAGAAUUAAUUCUUGAUCAUUUAUGUGUUUUAAUGGAGUCCAUAAUUUGUCCUCAAGUUAUGGAUAUCCAAAGGUCACUUUUCUUUAACACACACAUUUAAACACAUAAGUUACAUGAAAAUGAAGAGUCUUCAUUUUUAUGAACCUUUAAUUCAUAAGUUAUGAAAUGAAAAGUUUUGGAUAGUUACAAAACUUGCCCUCAAGUUUUGGAAUUUGAAAAGUUUCACACACUUUAAUAAACUUUAAUUCCAACACUUAGAGUUUUAAAAGUUAAAAUUCAACACUUAUACUAUUUAUAACAUUAAUGGUUAAUUAUUAUAUAUAUGUAUAAGAACAAGUCGUUUUACCGUUAGUAGGCCUCAUUCACGAAGCCGGUCUAUAAGGUGGGUAUAAGGUUGUUGCCUAUAAAAUGGCGACUUAAUGGGUGUCCACUCUCACCCACCGCUUGCUUGAUCGGUGGAGGGUCGUUAGCCGAACGGGUAGGACAAUGACUUUAAAUUCUCAUUAAAAGUAUAAUGAUUAUUAUAAAGUAACUAAAAAUUUUUUAUUUAAUUCCCAAUCUUAGUUACUUUAGGAAAAAUGUGAAUUUGGUGCUAGCCCAUGGAAUUCACACUUUGUACCUUACCAAGUCGUUGGUGGAGCGUGUGUGGUUAACCGGCACACUAACUUGGACUAGUAAGGAUCACGAAGGGUGACUUAAUGUUUGUCAUAGAUCAAUGGAGCGUGUGUGGUUAACCGGCACAUUGAUUAGGUGAUAAUAUUAAGGGUACCAAGUGAAUUGGUAUGGUUAUUCACACCUUGUUUUGUGAUCCUCGGCAUCCCAGUCACAAAAUUUGAGAGGGCACACUCGAGAUUGAAACAUGCCAUUGAAAAGUUCAAUGAAUCUCAAAAGAUCUAGGAAUUUCAAAUCCAAUUAAAACCUAAUAAAUUAUUUCGUUUUUCAUGGUGGAAAUUGGUGAAUCGUCAUUCGCCUACCUUCAAAUAUUUUAUAGCUUGGAUUACGGCAUCCCUCUUCCAAAUUAUAAAAUAUUGUGUUGGGUCCUAGCCUUAAUAUUUCAUAUUGGGUGUUAUAUUAAGGACUUUGAAUCAACUAACUUGAUUUUCUCCCAUUAUAGAUGUCUGGUUCAGACAACUAUGAUCUUCCCAAAUCUCUUGAAGAUGGUGUCCCUCAACAUCAUGCUUCACUUCCUCCACCUCCUCCAAUUAUUCUCCCUCACCCACAAGUUCUUGAAAAGUUUAAAGUCACUCAAUCCCUAUUGGCAAGCAUAGUCUAUGUGUGCUCACAUCUUGGAGAUAAAGUCACAUAUUGACAAGCCGGGAGAGUUGGGUGUCAAAGUCUCGUGAAAGUUGGAUGUUCAAUCACUUUCUUAGUAACAUAGUGAGUCUCUUUGGGACUACUAUGAGACAGACUAUGACAUGACCCUUAAUGAUGUUAUCUAUUUGCUUGGUGUUGUGGAAUCAGCAAUGAUUUGGAACACCAGUAAAGCAAAUUUGAUUAAAAGAACAACUUCCCAAGUCUUAAAUGGACAUUGACAAUGGUAGCAUUGGAUAUCUAGAAAAGGAUUUCUCUUCCCAAUGGAAAGGGAUCGGCCAUAGUCAACUCGGUUGACCAAAUGGUAAAGAGAAAGGCUAAGUCUGAGAUAGUCUCAUGUGCCAUUACCAAAGGGUCCAUGUGUUUUGUUGCCAAAGGAAGGGGCAUUGGUUGCGAAGCUGCCCUAUUCACCUGAAAGGUCAUAAGGUUGAUCAAGUCAAGAGGUUUGACUCUACUUCGGGUAAAGUCCACUGUCUAACUCUAUUAAGUUCCUAUUUGGAGAUUCUUAUUACAUAAUGUGAAUGGGUCACAUGCUGAUGUUUUUAAGAAUCAAAGAAAAGAUAGGAAGCUUAAAGUAAGUAUAUGUUGAUUCUGAUUGCGAAGGUGGGUUUCGAUCGCAUGGUUCGGUAAUCAGAAUUUUGAGCUGUUGCUUAAGAGUUAUAAUAUAUUGCUUAUGAAUAGAUAACAACAAGGUUUUCAUGUGGAUUGUAAGGAUAAGUUUUUCCGCAAAGUUUUAAAAAAAAAAAAAAAAAGGGUUUUAAUUUUAUUUAUUUUAAAAAUAUCCUUACAAUGGCAUCUGUGGAAAAUUGUUGCUUAUAUGUUUCCAGUAAUAGCAAUAUUGGAAAGUGGAUUUGAUUCUUUCAUUUGUGGUAGUGUCUGAAUUUACCAAAUGAAGAAAGUUUUUCAUCACCCAAGUUUCAAUUGGACAGAAACUUGGAAUCAUACAAGUUGUAUUGUAUGAUGAAUGAGAAUUUUCAUCUUUGAAAAUUAAGACUAAUUCUUUGAUCACAUGUAUAUGUGAGUCAAUUGAAGGACUAAGGAAUUAGGUACACUGGGUGUGCGCUGGUCAAGGUCCACCACAAAGAUUGAUUUGUCAUGAUUUACUAAAGAUUAGUAAAUAUGAUUAUACUUAUGAGGUUAAGUAUAAUUCUGUAACAUUGGAAAGGUUACAAUGUAUGACAAAACAAAUGAGAAGAAUCAAAUUAGGCAGAAAGAUAAAAGUUUCUCAAAUCUGAAAGGAUGGGAGAGUACUUUAGUAUCGUAUUUCAUGAUCAUCUUAAUGAUUAUGAAACCAUAUCACAAAUUCAUACUCUAAGGACGUCUUAGUGCAUUGUUAUGGCUAAGAAGAGAGGUCAUGAAUUGUUGGAUUGGUUAAAAUCAAGAAGAUGAGUCAUACUUCGUUCCAAAACAAUUCUUAGAGUCAUACUCCAAGAUUGUAACUUUGAGUGACAUAAAGGAAGAUUUAUUAACACUAGUCAAAUGUAAGAGUAAAAUGUUUUCUACUCUUGUACAUUUGAGAUUGGUAAGUUGUGAUGUCUUGGAUGAGACAAAGACCAACUAAGACCAAUUGUGUGAAGUGUUAGUCUUGAUAAGAAUCCGCACUAUCCCUUGAAUAUUUGUUUUGUCAAGGAAUGGUUCUUGACUGGGGAAACUUAUAUGUCAAGGGGACAGUGGGAGCCUUAAAGAUCCUGAAAGAGUUUCAAGAUUUAAUCAAGAGUAAAACCUGUAAUUUAUCACUAGCACACGACUUAAGGUUUGCAACCUAUCGUGUUGACAUAAUUCUUAUUUCUGUACCUACUUCAAAUAAGUUGAAUUUGCAUGUGAGUUAUCAGAGUUCAACUUGGAAGCAUUGGUGGGCCUUGUGCUACCAAGGUGACAAGAAACUAAGAUUGAACAAGUUUAAUCCAUGUAAGGCUGAAUUUGUCACUAACCUUAUCUUGUGAUUAUGGUUUUGACAAAUUCACAUGGAUAGGAACUCAUACACUAUAAAAUCUAAGUGUCAUAAGGUUUCUCUCCGAUUCAUGAAAAUGAUGGUGAGGAAACGCUUUCACUAAGUAGAUUUUACGUAGAUAUCAAUUGUGUUAUUUGCAUUUUCAAAAGUCGUUAGUGGAGCGCGUGUGGUUAACCGGCACACUAACAUGGACUUGUGAGAAAUGGCAAAUGCCUAAGCAAUUGAGACUAUGAUUACGGCAUCCCUUUUCAUAGUUCUGAAAAUUGUUUAGACACACAUGUGAGCUAUCUAAGAAAGGGUGUAUGAAUCUAAAUUUCAGAAGUCCAGCAGAUUUCUGGAAAUAUGUCAGAGCUAGUGGGAGCAUAAGUGUUAUGCUGAUAAUCAUCAUGUUAGUGGGAGCAUGAUUAUUACGUUUAGUGUUGCAAGUUAGCAAUGUUAAUUAUAGAAAACAAAGUUUCAAUUCGUGAAGUUGCAGGGGUUGAAAAGUUGUUUUGCUAUAAUUAAGGGAGAGGAAAUUAUACUUCAUUUCAAUUCUAAAGCUUAGAUUGAGAUUUUAAUCAUCUUUAGUCAAGUAUAUAUAUAUGAAUUUUAUGUUGGAAUGGUUCAACUUGAAGAAAUUCUAUAUAUAUUGCGUUUUCAAAAUUCGAUUAUGAUUACGGCAUCCCUCUUCAUAGUUAAAUUUUGAAAACAUGGCAAAUAAAAAAUAUUGUAGCAAAAGACUGGUCUAGUAUCAUGUCUUUAUGUCAAACAUCAUGAAUCGUGUCCCAUAUGCUUCGGAUAUAGGAUCGAUUGCAUGUGCUAUAAUAUUCAUCUUUUCUAAAUUUUCCAAAUGCUUAAGGCAUUGAGAAGGGAAAAGUCUAGAACUGGAUAUGACUAAAGUGAUUAAGCAAUUGUCGAGGACAAUCUGAGGUUCGCCAAAGAUUGGUUGCUCAGGGAAAGUUGGAAGUAUGAUGUAAGUUGUCGGAAAGGACCAUAUUGACAUAUUCUGAAAAGAAGUAACUCUUGUUCGGAAGUGAUAGUCAAAAUGGGACUAUGGAAAUGUCUCCAUAGGUGGAAGUUAUUCAAUCUAUGUAAGAUUAGAAAACCUUAAUGCAAGAAGGAUGUUCAAAGCAAUGUACUUUGAAUAUGAGACUUCCGUUCCAUAGAAGUUGACCUUCUUUGGAAUACUCUGUAAUGACUGGUGACAAGGUUUUGGUGACUUUGUGCAUAAUCAUUACAAGAGGAACAUUGCAUAAAAGUUUAAAAUCUAACAAUUUUUUUGGUAAAUGAUAGGAAUCGGGGAUUCUCACAUUUACAAUAAGGAUUUGGGAUUGUGAAAUGAGUAUCAUUGGAAUCAUGUUCAAUUGAUCUACAUCACAAUGUAAGGAUCAUAGACAAACAUAGUGUGCAUACUUGGAGUAUGGCAUAACUAUUGUUUAGAAAAACAAAGUGUACAUGCUAGGAGCAUGGGACGACUGUUGUUUUUAUUCAAGUCUUAAGUUGAUUGUUUGAAACAUUAUACAAUGAAUAAUGUGUAAUCAAUAUGGUGAUAAAUAAAAGGUGGUUCUAUUUAUAUUCAAAAGGGUUCUGAGACCAUAUUGGAUUCGAUUAUUAUUGUGUUUCACUUUGCAUGUUUUGACUUCCAAAAUAGCUAGGUUAUUCUUUCCGAAUGACUAAGUUAUUUAAACACUCCACAGUCGUUCAUAUGUUGGAAGUAGGUAUGAAUCAAGACUGUCAUGAAUCGAGUUUGUAGAUGGCUAAAUGGGUUUAGUCAUAGCAAUGGUUGCUACAACAUUCAUGAGUGCUCAUAAGUUAUGAGUAUUGGAAUAAACCCACGCUCACUUGUAUCACUUCAUGGAAUUUAUCUCGAGUGAUCGUGAGACGGUAAUAUCAUAUAAAUCUUCAAACCUAGAGAUAUGAGUUGUUACCUAUGAGUUGGUUGUGCAUUGAUUGCACGUAAACGCAUCAGUAACUUGAUGUUAUAAAACGUGCCUUUGUGUACAAUUCAACAAGUAGUAGAACAAGCAUAUGAGUCGAAGUUUAUCUGUUCCUUCUAGAAAUAGAAGCGAUAUUUGGGCCCCUCGAUGAUUUUGUUGUGACCUAUGUACCGGCCGGUCAGAACUAAAUUGAUGUGUUCGAUUAAGUUCUUUGUCAAACAAAUCGGAAAUCGGGAAACAAACUGCUGGACAAUAAGUACGACGUUGUUCCAUGUAUUUGUCCGGCUGAUAUCAUGAGAACAGAGGAUUAUAUGAUCACUUAUCUAAAAUGGCGCUUCAUAGUUCAACAGAGUUUUCGAGAGCUACGAUUGCUGGUUGGUUCCUGAAGUAACAUACGCAAAUAUAGUUAUUAGACUUAUCC